rnacentral:tRNA from 1 species
ACUAUUUUGACAGAUAAAUGUGAUGGUUUUAGAAAUCAUUUAUACAUAAUUUAAUUAUGUAAAUAGUA